UUCUGUAGUCGGAGCCCGAGAAGGGCGCCCAGCAGCCGGCACCAUGGUGAAGGAGCGGUUCCGGGAGACGGAUGUAGCUAAGAAAACGGAAAACGCAGCCUGUGGUGGAGGCUGAGGUCCCGGGUCCCAGAGGGUUCCAGCAUCAUUUUGUCGCUCGCUGGCAGCUCUGCAGAGUGCCUCCUGAACUCUAGGGGUUCGAGAGCAGACGCAACUCCUCAAAGUGAGGAACGUGCCAGGCAGUGCAAACUGCGAGUUUUCACUUUGUUUGUUUGUUUUAAAGGCAGAUCUAUUCAUUUUUAAGGAGCACGAGAGAGUUUUGAGGCCAGUGUUGAGCACUGAAGAUUCCUCAAGAAUGCAGCAUUUUCUGCUUGGUCUAUUGGAGAGUACUCACAUCCGCCAUGGUUGCGGCAAAUGCAAGGACACACAGGGGAUAAUGGGAGCACACAUAAUGUGGUGCUCAAACAUACCUGCAGGAAAAAUACCCGUAUACAUAAAAAAUGAAAUAUUAAAAAGGGGGAAAAUAACAAUUAAAAUAAGAUGCAAAUGCAAGUCAGGGGCUUAGGAAAUGGCUCAGCAGUAAAGAGUAGUAAAGCAGGAGCUCUUACAAAUUCUUUUUUAAGUCAGAGAUACCCUGGUGCUGAGAGAUGAAGGCAGGUAAGUAGGUAGAUACAUAGAAGGAUGGAUGGAUGGAUAGAUAGAUAGAUAGUAUAUAGAGAGUAGAUAGAUGGAUAGAUAGAAUUAUAGGCCUAUUAUCCUGAUUAACCUAUAAAUACAAAUUUUCAAUAAAAUAUUUGCAAAUCAAGGUAAUGAUCACAUCAAAAAUAUCAUCCACUGUGGUCAAGUUGUCUUCACCUCAAACAUGCAA